CCUACGGGCGGCAGCAGUAGGGAAUCUUUCACAAUGGGCGAAAGCCUGAUGGAGCAACGCCGCGUGCAGGAUGAAGGCCUUCGGGUUGUAAACUGCUUUUAUAAGCGAGAAAUAUGAUGGUAACUUAUGAAUAAGGAUCGGCUAACUACGUGCCAGCAGCCGCGGUCAUACGUAGGAUCCGAGCAUUAUCCGGAGUGACUGGGUGUAAAGAGUUGCGUAGGUGGCAUAAUAAGUAGCUAGUGAAAUCUGGUGGCUCAACCAUUCAGACUAUUAGCUAAACUGUUAAGCUCGAGACCGUUAGGGGUAACUGGAAUUUGUAGUGUAGGAGUGAAAUCCGUAGAUAUUAGAAGGAACACCAAUAGCGUAGGCAGGUUGCUGGGACGGUUCUGACACUAAGGCACGAAAGCGUAGGGAGCAAACGGGAUUAGAUACCCCAGUAGUC
rnacentral:rRNA from 1 species